rnacentral:rRNA from 1 species
GCACGACAGAGUUUAACAAGAUUACCCAAACCUUUCGGCUAAGGAAAUGAACUCGUUGGCUCUGUCAGUGUAGCGCGCGUGCGGCCCAGAACAUCUAAGGGCAUCACAGACCUGUUAUUGCCUCAAACUUCCAUCGGCUUGAGCCGAUAGUCCCUCUAAGAAGCCGGCGACCCGCCAAAGCGGGCCUGGCUAUUUAGCAGGUUAAGGUCUCGCUCGUUAUCGCAAUUAAGCAGACAAAUCACUCCACCAACUAAGAACGGCCAUGCACCACCACCCACAAAAUCAAGAAAGAGCUCUCAAUCUGUCAAUCCUUAUUGUGUCUGGACCUGGUGAGUUUCCCCGUGUUGAGUCAAGUUAAGCCGCAGGCUCCACGCCUGGUGGGCCCUUCCGUCAAUUUCUUUAAGUUUCAGUCUUGCGACCAUACUCCCCCCAGAA